UCCCCUUCUGUACCCCAGGAUCACAUUACCCACCCCCCAACACUGUUCUGCAGAAUGUGCAGAAAAUUGCAGGUGGUGACGCUUCUGCAAACAGCAGAGCCCCGGGCACCUGUCCAAGGCGGCUCCGGAAGGCCCCGCGAGUCCCGUGCGCGGGGACUUCCCAGGGGCGGGGUCGCGGGGCAGGGCGGGCGCUGGCUCCACCCCCCGCCGGCCCCGCAGGAACCGGAAAGGGGCUGGACGGUGUAGCGGCGCCCCCUGCCGACACCUCCUAGCAUCGCGUCCCCGCGUGGCCGCGGGGCGGGGCCCGGGGGGUCGUUCCGGAGUGGCCCCUGCAGGGCUUACAAACAGACGCGGCGGCUGCGAGAGGGGGACACGAUGACUUCUUUCUAGAGCAGGGACUUAGAGAACCGAGUCUUUAUGCAUGAAUGUACCUGCAUAACCAUUUGCUAAAUAGGGCCCGGAGGAGGCUCAUAGGAGGGUGUAGGGGCAGGAGCCUUCUGGCUUUGAGCCCCAGGGUUGAAGCUGGAGCUUUCCCAGGUGGAGAAGACACAGCGAAGACCAGGGCGGGACGGCCCGUGGCAGGUGCCGCACACCGCGCCGUGGGCUGAGGGACAGGUCAGGACCCCAGGCACAGAGGUGCAAUGGCCAUAUUUUCAAACCAAACUUCAGAAGGGGCGUGGCAGUACUGAAUUCUGCCUGGGUGUGGUUUUUCCAGGCAGCAGCCCCCAACGGGUUUUCUUUUCUUUUCUUUUUGACAUAGGGUCUCACUCUGUUGCCCAGGCUGGGCAGCCUCAACCUUCCAGGCUCCAGAGAUCCUCCCACCUCGGUCUCCCUAGUAGCUGGGACUACAGGCAUGCGCCACCAUGCCCAGCUAAUUUCUAAACUUAUUUUUGUAGAGAUGAGGUUUCUCUCAGUUGACCAAGCUGGUCUUGAACUCCUGGCCUCAAGUGAUCCUCCUGCCUCGGCCUCCCAAAGAUCUGGGAUGGCAAGCUUGAGCUGUGGCCAGCCUUGACCAGGUUUCCCAUGGGCCUGGGGUGUGCUUGUCUCCAGCAGCUCUGAAGCGCCUCUCUUCCAACUCCACUCCAGUUCCAGCAGCACAGAGACCCAGAUGGGCAUCCAUCCACGCUGGGGUCAGGCCCAUGCGCCAAGCUCCUCUGAGUAGCCUGAGUCCUCAGCCAUGGUGACCCCACGUGGAAAAGUCUUGAAACUGACGUCUCAAAGAGGAUGAUGUGUGAGCGACCGUGACAGCAGCACAAAUCCCAGGUGGACAGGACACUCCGGCUGCCCCGAGUGGCCGAGGACGGGUCGGCAUCUCCUGGCAUUUUUGUCCGUUUUGGUGGCAGGUGAGCCCAGCACGUAGGGAGGGAUGGGCAGCCCACAGCCGGGACUGGACGACUCAGAAGUUCCGGCUAAGGUAGGAUAACUUGGGCAGGCUUCCCGAGUCCCUCCCAGCUGCGGUCCCCUGGCCCCCACUUGCUCAGUGGCCAGGUGUGGGAGGAGCCAGCGGCCCUGUGCCAAGGGAGCACGAGUUGGGGCGUGUGGGGAUGGGAGGCCGGGUCGAAGGCCGCCUUUCAGUGCAGGGAAGGACCUGAUACCACAGUCCAGCAGCAGAGGGAAAGCCAGGCCAGGGGUUUGAGGCCAGAGAUCUCAGAACCUUGGGAGCCAGCUGCUAGUCUGCAUUUCAGGGUGCCAGGAGUCCCUGGAGACGGGGAUGGAGCCCUGUGGGUGGAGACAGCAGGACUUCAGGUCACCAAUGAGGCCAGGGUGCUGGUGCUCAGGGUCCCAGCUGUGGGGGUCUCAGUUCUCCCAGCCCUGCUCCCAGGCUGACCCUCCAGGCCAGCCCCUCUCUGUAGGUCUGAGGAGGGUCCUUAUGGAGCACAGGUGGGGCUGGGGAAAUGGCACAUGUCUCCGCAAAGCUCCUGUGCCUCCUUUGCUCCGGAGAGCCUGCUCCUUCACAGAGGGCGUCUGAUACA
rnacentral:lncRNA from 1 species